UACGUAGGGGGCAAGCGUUGUCCGGAUUUAUUGGGCGUAAAGAGCGUGUAGGCGGCCAGGUAGGUCUGCUGUGAAAACUCGAGGCUUACCACGAUGAGCUGUCGGCGGAAACCAUCUGGCUAGAGUCCGGAAGAGGAGAAUGGAAUUCCCGGUGUAGCGGUGAAAUGCGUAGAGAUCCGGAAGAACACCGGUGGCGAAGGCGGCCUGCUGGGCAGUUGCUGACACUGAGGCGCGACAGCGUGGGGAGCAAACAGG
rnacentral:rRNA from 1 species